rnacentral:tRNA from 1 species
GUAUAUAGCUCAGUUGGUAGAGUGCUUGCCUUAUACACACAAGGCCCUGGGUUCAAUUCCCAGUAACA